rnacentral:rRNA from 1 species
AUUGAACGCUGGCGGCAUGCCUUACACAUGCAAGUCGAACGGCAGCACGGGGCAACCUGGUGGCGAGUGGCGAACGGGUGAGUAAUGCAUCGGAACGUACCUUUCAGUGGGGGAUAACGUAGCGAAAGUUACGCUAAUACCGCAUAUUCUGUGAGCAGGAAAGCAGGGGAUCGCAAGACCUUGCGCUGAUUGAGCGGCCGAUGUCAGAUUAGCUAGUUGGUGAGGUGAAGGCUCACCAAGGCGACGAUCUGUAGCGGGUCUGAGAGGAUGAUCCGCCACACUGGAACUGAGACACGGUCCAGACUCCUACGGGAGGCAGCAGUGGGGAAUUUUGGACAAUGGGGGCAACCCUGAUCCAGCCAUGCCGCGUGAGUGAAGAAGGCCUUCGGGUUGUAAAGCUCUUUCGGCCGGGAAGAAAUCGCACGGGCUAAUACCCUGUGUGGAUGACGGAACCGGAAUAAGAAGCACAGGCUAACUACGUGCCAGCCGCCGCCGUAA